rnacentral:tRNA from 1 species
UGAACUCCUCCUGGAGGAAGCCGGAGACCGAGUGCGAGUCGGUCUCACCGAGCAUCUUGAUGAGCGCGCCCAGUUCGACGCCGUGGGGGUGCGG